rnacentral:lncRNA from 1 species
UUGAAGUUAAUAAGAAUGGAAUGAGUAGCAUUACCAUAGGACAAUUUCUAAUGUUGUGACCUUUCUCACUGCAGUAUCCACAAGUCAUGACAACUUCUUUUCUUGAAGAUAACCAAACCCCCUCUCUCAUCCUUGCCUCAUCCUUUUCUCUCUUUCUCUUUACCUUUGGUCGACCAACCAUUUUGACAAUAUCUGGUGGCUCUAUUGCAUGAUGU